GGAAGUGUGGCCGAGCGGUUGAAGGCACCGGUCUUGAAAACCGGCGACCCGAAAGGGUUCCAGAGUUCGAAUCUCUGCGCUUCCC
rnacentral:tRNA from 1 species